GGCGAGUUGGGGGUUGUACUCCCCGAGUCCACCGAGUCUCUGAAGGGGGACGGCGGGGUGAGAGCCACCAACUCCUCCAGGUCUUGCUUGCCGGCCGCAGCCUCAGGCCCGGCCGCGGGGGCCUCCCCUGCAGCGCCCCCGGCCGGCGGGACCCCCGCCACCGGCUGCGCGCCGCCCGAGACCUCGAUGGCCGGCAGGGGCUGGAUUUCGGCGAACGUCGUCAUGGUCGUCGGCAGCUGAAUCUCUUUGGGGAUCAGGGACCUGUCUUGAGAAGUUCCACGGAGAGAGGAGCUUUCAGUACCUCUUUCUCCCUGAAGACAACACUCCAUGAUGCCUCCAUCCUGGGAGCCCACAGGCUCAUAUGUCACCUCUUCCAGGAAGCCUUCCU